rnacentral:rRNA from 1 species
GAUGAACGCUGGCGGCGUGCCUAAUACAUGCAAGUCGAGCGAACAGAUGAGGAGCUUGCUCCUCUGACGUUAGCGGCGGACGGGUGAGUAACACGUGGAUAACCUACCUAUAAGACUGGGAUAACUUCGGGAAACCGGAGCUAAUACCGGAUAAUAUAUUGAACCGCAUGGUUCAAUAGUGAAAGACGGUUUUGCUGUCACUUAUAGAUGGAUCCGCGCCGCAUUAGCUAGUUGGUAAGGUAACGGCUUACCAAGGCGACGAUGCGUAGCCGACCUGAGAGGGUGAUCGGCCACACUGGAACUGAGACACGGUCCAGACUCCUACGGGAGGCAGCAGUAGGGAAUCUUCCGCAAUGGGCGAAAGCCUGACGGAGCAACGCCGCGUGAGUGAUGAAGGUCUUCGGAUCGUAAAACUCUGUUAUUAGGGAAGAACAAAUGUGUAAGUAACGAUGCACGUCUUGACGGUACCUAAUCAGAAAACCACGGCUAACUACGU